AGUGCGUUCCCAGGACACAGUUUUUGUUGUAGGUGGCGCAACAGGGACAGUUGAGGGUCGCGAACUGGUCUGGACAUUCCUGAAGGACAAGUGGGAUGUCCUGUAUGAACGCUAUGGACGGGGUUUCCUACUGGCAAGACUUAUCAUGUUUAGCACAGAGAAGUUUGCCUCUGAAGAAAAAGCGAAGGAGAUUGAGGCUUUCUUUAAGGAGCACCCAGCCCCAGCUGCAGAACGUACAAUACAGCAGUCUUGUGAAAACAUCCGACUGAACGCCGCAAUGCUGGAGAGGGACGCUGAAAACAUUCGAGCUUUCUUGAAAAGCCAGGCAUGAUUGACACUUAUGGUUACAUGUACAACAUAGAAAAUCAAAUUAUGUAAUCCCAAUGACGUUCAAAGAAAAUUUUGCCUGCUUCUUUUAGGUAGUGCAAGGUGAAAUAUUUUACUGAAGAAUAUUUUGCUUAUGUUCUUGAAUAAUACAUAUAUGGCUACAGAAGUUGGUAUGCAAGUGACCCACCCGCACUCACUGUGAUCAGAGGGAAAUGAGUUAACAUAAAUACAGAUCAGAGACAUUAAUGAGUUAUAUUUAUCACUUGAUAAUGUGGUGUUCUCUGGGAAAUACAGCGCUGCAAAAUAUAAUUAUAUACCAACAGUAACCAGUGUUUAACAUUUUGACUGGUAUUUGUUUUGUCUUUGAAGAAAAAUUCGGUUGCUUGCUUUGACUAGCACUUUAAAGGCAGGUGAUUGAGAAAAUUGUAGCAUGAUUAUUCUCUUUGCUUUAAACUUAAAGAUGAAAAAUAUGCGAUGCGCAUUCAAC